UACGAAGGGUGCAAACGUUGCUCGGAAUUAUUGGGCGUAAAGCGCACGUAGGCGGCUUUGCAAGUCGGGCGUGAAAUCCCACGGCUCAACCGUGGAAGUGCACCCGAAACUGCGUAGCUAGAGUCCUGGAGAGGAAGGUGGAAUGCUUGGUGUAGAGGUGAAAUUCGUAGAUAUCAAGCGGAACACCGGUGGCGAAGGCGGCCUUCUGGACAGUGACUGACGCUGAGACGCGAAAGCGUGGGGAGCAAACAGG
rnacentral:rRNA from 1 species